GUAGAUAUAGUUUAACGAAAAUAUUAGGUUGUGGUUCUAAAGACAAGGGUUAAACUCCCUUUAUCCACC
rnacentral:tRNA from 1 species